rnacentral:lncRNA from 1 species
GGCCAUGGGACCACACAAGGCCGGGAGCCAGCGCUGGGACGGGGAGGGCAGCGUCCUGCUCGGGUGCGCAGCUCAAGCCCUUUCCGGGCUGUAUUGCGAACACCACUUUCACAGGCUGGAUUUGCGAGCAUGAAUGGAAAACCAGAAGCUGUGGCCACAUCCCAGUUAGACUCGCCGCGAACGUACCCCUUGCAACAUGCUGCAUGCGAUCCUCGAUCCUCGGCUCUUCAGACCCACAGCGCUGUCUCCACAGGGGUGGCAGCCGUUUGGUCGCCUUGGCCCAUUGCAUAAAGACAGGAGCAGACUAAUAAAAAUUCUCCACUCAGACUCAACUCCAGUCCAGACCCUGCCUUAAUCAGUAUCAUUGAUACAACAGAUUCAAUUGCUGCCUCGGGGACUUAGCCUCUCCCUUUAUGAAAUAAAAGCUUUGCUAGAUCAUCUGGAAAACCACUCAAGCUCUUAUACCUGUAGGUUUAACAAUCAGAAAAAAAUUAAAUGCAAAAGGAGUAAUUCCGUGUGUGUCUAAAGAAAAUAGUAUCAGUAGAGAAAAUAGAAUUGUUUUAUUAUAAUUUAAUUAUUGUAUGUACUAUAUAAGGACAACAUUUAUCUUUAUGAUAUAUGAUAUAAAGGCAAAAUAUGUUUGCCUAUGAAUGUAAGUGAUCAUACAUUAGAAGUGUCAAUAUUUUUAUUUCUAAGAAAUAUCUCAAUUAACUUGAAACACAAUACACUCAAUAGUCAGUCUGUUCACCUUUUCUGAAAUGUUGCAUUGAUUUCAAAGUAAGUUCCAAGUAUCAUUGUUAAAACAAUCUAUUUGUAUCUUGAUACAAAAAGUUUUGAAAUUCUGCACAUGCAUUCAGGAGAAUUUUAAGCAGUUGAAAGAACACCAUUCUUCUACUUGGCAAGUAAUCUGUAUUUUGUUUCUUCAUUCAUCUCGCCUUGACGUUUCAGCCAUCUUUUCUUCCAAUACGGUGCAAUCCUGAUGCUGCAAUGUGUGUCCAGCUAGAAGUAAGGGCAGCUUCCCUCCCCACUCCAUCAGUCCGGAGACUGAUGCUAGGAUCAUCUCCACUGCAAAUACUUUUCAUAGCCCUCUGCAAAUCUGAAUGCCAGCAACUGAAGAGAAAACCUCAAUGAAAUAACGCAAAGCUCACAUACUCUUUGAUCUAUUCUGCUGUAGCAACACUGUGAAGCAGACCUGAUCAAUACAGUGUUUUCAUGAUAGGGGAAGCCGACUGCUUGGAAAAUUUUCCCUAGUUGAAAAAAAAACAGCAUUUAGAGUAUGUGUUCAUGGCUCAGUUUGCUUAAACAACCUAAACAAAAUGAUAGCUACUCAUACAUACUGAAACUCUUUACUGAGCAGAGUUACUACAGGACUGAGGAGUAAGGUUAACUCUGCCCAUAAAAGAAAAGUGAAUUCAUCAGUGAUUUACAAGUAUCUCAAAAAUCUCGACUCUAAUGUAGUUAGUUGUUCAGCAGUGUUACGACUGACAAAGAAGUGGCAGAGAUACAAAAGUGACCAUCAUGUGCCUUGAACUACUCCUGACACAGUCAUAGCUGCACAAAACAUCUUGGGGAGGAGGGAGAAUGAGGAUGCAGAAAAUACAGAGCACACAUGUAUACAACAUCAGGUGGAGAGAAAUGGCAGAAAGAAACGUGACGUGAAGGGAAGUGAUGGAGGGAGAAGGGGGUGGAGGGACUGGAGAGAUCCCCGUGGUGGGUCUCUGACAGGGGAGCAUGAGAGGACAGAGCUGAGGAAACGGGGGACAGUGGGGAGCCCUCUGGGCCAGAAGUGUCACAAUCCCAAAUCCCCAGCAAUUUCUGAUCUGCACAAAUCUACAUGACGUGCCUCAAACAGGAAGGGGGCUAUGAUUUACACAAAGUUAUUAACAUCACCAGUGAAUUCUCUUGAACAUGGAAUGGAGUCUGGAAUCCACAAAACCAACUGACGAAAGUUACCACAGAGAGUUGACGGAAUCCUGUUCCAUCUGUCUUAGUUCCACUGAGAUCUAACAGACAUGUUUGAAAGCACACAGUGCGGAGAGGAUCUAAAUUCUCCAAAAACGGAACAAAGGUCAUAUUUAGCACAGAGCACACAGUGAAGUAGAAGAAAUCUCCUGAGGAGUGAAGAGCUAUUUUGAAAUCUAUGUUGAAGGGUGUCAUGGGGGCUAGGGAUGUAGUUCACUGGGUGAGUGCUUGUCUGGCAUGAGCUAGGCCCUGAGUUUGAUCCCCAGCCCCUCAAAAUAAUAAAAUAAAAUAUAUCUUAUGGAUGUUAUAGCCAGGAAUUACUGAAUAAAACAUGAAAAUGAUGAAUUAAUUGUGAGAAAGAGUAUAUGCCUACAACUGUACUUGAAAUUUGUAAGAAAAAUGAUACAAAUUAUGGGUUUAUGAUGAAGCCUUUUGCAUUUUAACAUUUAAAGGAAAGAUCUUAAUGUCUUAGCACAUGUUUUUUAAGCUACAAUAUAUAUUAUAAUUCUAAAAAUGCUUUUAUAUUGCUUUAGGAAUUUUCUGAAAUGUGAUAUUAACAAGUAAGAUUAAAGUCAUAAGCAUUCUACCUAAUGUAGC